AACGAACGCUGGCGGCAGGCCUAACACAUGCAAGUCGAACGCCCCGCAAGGGGAGUGGCAGACGGGUGAGCAACGCGUGGGAACCUUCCCAAUGGUACGGAAUAGCCCAGGGAAACUUGGAGUAAUACCGUAUACGCCCGAAAGGGGAAAGAUUUAUCGCCAUUGGAUGGGCCCGCGUUGGAUUAGCUAGUUGGUGAGGUAAUGGCUCACCAAGGCGACGAUCCAUAGCUGGUCUGAGAGGAUGAUCAGCCACACUGGGACUGAGACACGGCCCAGACUCCUACGGGAGGCAGCAGUGGGGAAUAUUGGACAAUGGGCGCAAGCCUGAUCCAGCCAUGCCGCGUGAGUGACGAAGGUCUUCGGAUUGUAAAGCUCUUUUGGCGGGGACGAUAAUGACGGUACCCGCAGAAUAAGCCCCGGCUAACUUCGUGCCAGCCGCCGCCGUAACAC
rnacentral:rRNA from 1 species